UACGUAGGGGGCAAGCGUUGUCCGGAAUCAUUGGGCGUAAAGCGCGUGUAGGCGGUUCGGUAAGUCGGCUGUGAAAGUCCAGGGCUCAACCCUGGGAUGCCGGUCGAUACUGCCGGACUAGAGUUCGGAAGAGGCGAGUGGAAUUCCCGGUGUAGCGGCGAAAUGCGCAGAUAUCGGGAGGAACACCAAUGGCGAAGGCAGCUCGCUGGGACGUUACUGACGCUGAGACGCGAAAGCGUGGGGAGCAAACAGG
rnacentral:rRNA from 1 species